AAUUACUUAGAGGUCGCUUCAUUCCUUAUGUCUGCGUGCUUCACGGUGUGUUUGCUGUGUGUUUUAGUUUAGACGUGUGAGAAGCAGAUUUUAUAUUUUCUUGAAAUAAAAAAUGUCCGGAAGGCAAGGAGGAAAAAAGAAACCAUUAAAACAAGGCAAGAAAGAAAGAUCUGAAGAGGAUGAGCAAGAUGCACAAUUUAAACAAAAACUAAAGGAAGACCAAAAAGCUUUGAAAGAAGCUGCAGCGAAAGCAUCUCAGAAAGGACCAAUGGGAGUUGGUGGUAUAAAGAAAUCUGGGAAAAAGAAAUGACCUUUGUUAAAUUAGUACCUUUUCAAAUAUUAAAUAAAUAAAAAUUUGUUUGGAUAUCUUUUUAAAUUAGAUGUUAAGUCAUUUUUGCGAAUGAUUUUGUAUGCUGUGAUUUUUUUUCUUUUUUUAACUUCUACAGAUAUCCUGUACUUUAUGUGGCCUUGCCAAUUAUAUAAAUUGGAUUGUUAACUCAUUCUAAUUUUGUACAUUAAAUACCAGUUUAUUUAUAAUCACAU